GGAGUUAGGACCGUGUCUCAGUUCCUAUGUGGGGGACCUUCCUCUCAGAACCCCUAACGAUCGAAGGCUCGGUGGGCCGUUACCCCGCCGACUACCUAAUCGUACGCAUCCCCAUCGGUGUACCGAUAAAUCUUUAAUCGGGAAAAGAUGUCUUCACCCGACCACAUCCGGUAUUAAUCCUCCUUUCAGAGGGCUAUCCCGGAGUACACGGCAGGUUGGAUACGCGUUACGCACCCGUGCGCCGGUCGCCAUCAAGAGUAGCAAGCUACUCUCAUGCUGCCCCUCGACUUGCAUGUGUUAAGCCUGUAGCUAGCGUUCAUC
rnacentral:rRNA from 1 species